CAGCAGACACAUUCCAGCCAAUCAGCAGCAGAUCCUCCCUCCCAGACCCUCCCACCUCCUGGACAGCUCACUAAGAAUGCAGCUUCACAAUGGAUGCUGUCCAGGAGGUGGGAGGGUCUGGGAGGGAGUGUCUACUGCCGAUUGGCUGGAAUGUGUCUGCUG
rnacentral:miRNA from 1 species